AGUAUUAAAAUGUGUAAGUCGCUCUGGAUAAGCGUCUGCUAAAUGACUAAUA
rfam:Salmo salar isolate Sally breed double haploid chromosome ssa04, whole genome shotgun sequence.